GCCUGGGUGGCUCAGUGGUUGAGCAUCUGCCUUCAGCUCAGGCCGUGAUCCCGGGGUCCUGGGUUCGAGUCCUGUAUCAGGCU
rnacentral:tRNA from 1 species